UUAGUGGCGGACGGGUGAGUAACGCGUGGAAAACCUGCCGUAUACUGGGGGAUAACACUUAGAAAUAGGUGCUAAUACCGCAUAAGCGCACAGCUUCGCAUGAAGCGGUGUGAAAAACUCUGGUGGUAUACGAUGGUUCCGCGUCUGAUUAGCUAGUUGGUGGGGUAACGGCCUACCAAGGCAACGAUCAGUAGCCGGCCUGAGAGGGUGAACGGCCACAUUGGGACUGAGACACGGCCCAAACUCCUACGGGAGGCAGCAG
rnacentral:rRNA from 1 species